rnacentral:rRNA from 1 species
GACGAACGCUGGCGGCGUGCUUAACACAUGCAAGUCGAACGGUGAAGGGACCAGCUUGCUGGUUCUGGAUGAGUGGCGAACGGGUGAGUAACACGUGAGUAACCUGCCCCCUUCUUCUGGAUAACCGCAUGAAAGUGUGGCUAAUACGGGAUAUUCUGGGUCUGUCGCAUGGCGGGCCCGGGAAAGAUAUUGCUUCGGUGGGGGAUGGGGUCGCGGCCUAUCAGCUUGUUGGUGGGGUGAUGGCCUACCAAGGCGGUGACGGGUAGCCGGCCUGGGAGGGGGGACGGUCACACUGGGACUGAGACACGGCCCAGACUCCUACGGGAGGCAGCAGUGGGGAAUAUUGCACAAUGGGCGCAAGCCUGAUGCAGCGACGCCGCGUGAGGGAUGGAGGCCUUCGGGUUGUAAACCUCUUUCGCCAGUGAAGCAGGCCUGCUCCUUGUGGGUGGGUUGACGGUAGCUGGAUAAGAAGCGCCGGCUAACUACGUG